UGGCUCUUUGCUUGCGCACAACUUCCACCUGGCAUACCUCUUCAGUUUUGGGUCAAUGCUUGUAUCGCAUUGAACGCACUGGGGUUUCUUGUGUUGCAUGCCUAAUCGAUGGUAUCGUUUUGACGAAUCGAUGUCUAUUUUCGUCUUGUGUCGCACAUGCGAUGCGAGAUGAACCUUAAAGCAGCCUUUUGUGAUCCACUCUUUUGAUGGCACACGCAUUGAUUUUGUGGCUCAUUGAGUGUUUGCUUGGUCUCUGGAUAUGGAACCUUGUGUGGGCAUGUGAUCUUUUAUUACCCUCCUUGUUUUGCCCUUGUUAAGCUUUUCUAAAACGAUUUCCCUAUCAUGGCUUUACACGUGGGGGUGGAUAUAUCAAAAC
rnacentral:misc_RNA from 1 species